UUUCUAACUAACCCCUGCUUUCAUUAUACUUUGCAUGGGGAUUCAUCCCCUGUUUUAUUGAUAAAUUUUGGUAAGCUCCUUAGGUUGAUUAGAAACAAAAGGUGAUGGUAGUCUAGGGAAUCUUUACUGUGGCAAAGUGUUUGCUUUGUGAAUCUCUGCUUUGAAAGCCAUGUAGGCAGUGCUUGGGCUUAGCAAAUGCAGAAGCUAUAAAACCUUAAUUGCUCCUUCCAACACUGAGAAAAAAAUAACUCAUCUUACUAUUGUGAUCUUUGUAACAAAUUAUAUUUGUGGUAUAAGUGAAAAACAUACCUUAAAAGAGUAUUUCCUUUUACUUAUUUUCAUCUUCAGAAAGAUGUUCAGGUGCAUUCCCAAAAUAUAAUCAGAAUAUACAUUAAAGGAAUUCUUUGAAGGUUUUUUUGUCCAGCCCCUGCUCAAAGUACAGCCAGCUUCAAUGGGAGAGCAGGUUGUACAGAGGUAUUAGCAGCUGAAAUUUGAAAAACUCGAAGAAUAAAGAUACCCAGAUUCUCUGGGCAAUCUGUUCUUGCAUUGAACUACCCUCGUGGUGCAUUUUUUCUAUCCAGUUGAAAUUUCCUUGCAACUUGUGACUGCUACCUCUGCUCUCCAUCGUGGCCCUCUGUGAAGAGUCUAAAUUUUCACAUUCUCCCUUCUGGGGAGGGGAGGAUAGCAAUUAAAUCUCCCUUUGUCUUCUCCAGAGGAAGCAAACUCAGCUGUCCCAGUCUAUGAUCCUACAUCAUGUGCUCUAAUCUCUGCUCUCUGUCAUCCUCACAACACUUACCACAAGUGAUACACUUGCAAGCAGAAAGGAGUAAGAGGAGCAGGAAAAAGUUUAAGGGGCAAAGCGAAAAGGAGUGCAUCCACUUUAAUUCUCCAUUCAGGUUUUAUACAGGACAGCAGUACGAGGAAACAGAAACUUCAGACCAGGAUGCCCUCACUGUGGAUGGGAUACCACUGUGAGUGCAAGGGUUGUGAAUUGUUUCCUUUGGGAUUAACACUCCUGUGCCAGUCCCCCAGGCUGUCAUUCACUUCCUGGGAUUAAUACUGUCCAACCUUCUUCAGCACUGAUAACUGCUCCAUCCUUUGCCACCUGCUCCUUCAGUUGUUGGUAAGGUUAAUUCAGUUAUACACCCAAGCCAGUCUACAGAGGGAAAUCUUUCCCGGAAAAAGGAGCUGCAAGAGGUGCAAAAUCUCCUGAAACACUGAUAUAGGCCACCUCUUGCAGGCAAAGACUGUCAUUUAAAUCAAACAAAAAAAAAAUCUGAAAGUGUUUUCAAAGAAAAUAAUUAAGUUUUAGUUUAGAGAGUCAAGUUAAGAGCUGAGAAAACCUGUGGCAGCCUCAUGUUUAAUUUCCGCUGCUUUUAAAAAAUGUGGUUGACCGAAUAUUUC
rnacentral:lncRNA from 1 species